UAUUGCGCAAUGGGCGAAAGCCUGACGCAGCGACGCCGCGCGAGGGAUGAAGGUUUUCGGAUCGUAAACCUCUGUCAGAGGGGAAGAAAGUGCGUGGUGCUAAUCAGCCGCGUAUUGACGGAACCUUCAAAGGAAGCACCGGCUAACACCUUGCCAGCAGCCGCGGUAAUACGGCGGGUGCGAGCGUUAAUCGGAAUUACUGGGCGUAAAGCGCACGUAGUCUGUUGUGUAAGUCAGGGGUGAAAUCCCACGGCUCAACCGUGGAACUGCCCUUGAUACUGCAUGACUGGAAUCCGGGAGAGGGUGGCGGAAUUCCAGGUGUAGGAGUGAAAUCCGUAGAUAUCUGGAGGAACAUCAGUGGCGAAGGCGGCCACCUGGACCGGUAUUGACGCUGAGGUGCGAAAGCGUGGGGAGCAAACAGG
rnacentral:rRNA from 1 species